rnacentral:tRNA from 1 species
GGAGGCGUGGCUCAAGUGGUAGAGCACUAGCUUUAAAAAACGACGCAGAGUGAGAGCAAGAGGCCUUGAGUUCAAGCCCCAAUGCCACCA